CGCCGCGGCCGCAGGACACCACAGUAACGCCUGCCGCCGGCAUGACAGGAUCCUCGCCGCUCGCGCACCAGCGCCGGCUCUUCCUCGGGCUGCUCUGCUUCGUCGUGACCCUGCGCGCCUCCGCGGCCCGGCCGGAGGGCACCGCAACGCCGUCAGGCCUGGGCACAGCGGCAGAGUUGAUGGAGGAGAUUCGCUCCCGCAUGAGCAACCAGUGGGACGCCCUGCAGCAUAUCCGCUACCAGGCGCUGACGAGCAAGAUGACGGUGGGUCGCCUGAGCGAGCGCGUCAAGCAGCUGGUCGCCGUCAUCGCUUCCCAGGAAGUGCUUCCGUCGGCACGCCCCUCGACGCCGGACGAGCCGUGCGACGAGGAGCCGUUCGAGGACGACGGCAUACCUGCCUUGGCGGAUGCUCUGGAGGAGCUCCUCCAGGCGUACACCAACUACAUCAAUACGAGUGUGGAAGGAGACGACCCACGAAGCUUCCAGGAGGAUCUAGCGAAGAUUACGGACGUGCUGGGGAAGCUGAGAGCUCUGGUCGGCCAAGCAUCGACCAGGACAUCCCGCGGCAUAGAAACAACCCCUGCGGAGGGCGAGCCUGAGGCGCGGCGUCGGGAAGUGCGAGCGGGCGCCACGGCCGUGCUCCCGUGCCCCGUCGGCGCCGCAGGACAGCCGGUCACGUGGGUCCACUCGCUAGCAAAUCGGCUCGUUGCCCUGAACGGCGUAGUUGUGGUGGCAGACGCGCGCUUCGGGCUGGUUGAAGUGAACGGCUCGCCUGCCCUCGAGAUUUCAGACAUUCAGAAGAAGGACGAAGGCCUCUAUAAGUGCUUCUCGAAUGGGACGGUUUCCUAUGAACUCUUUGUUGCUGAACCCAUGCUGGAAGUGGGCGUUCCCGCCAUGGCUGCCCGCUUCACGAACCAGACCCUCACCUGCGCCUACCGCGGAGGCGAGGGCCUCGCACGGCUCGAAUGGCUGUUCAACGGUGCUCCCUUCUUCCAUUAUAAUCCUUUCCGAAAUGCACAAGUGGGUACCGAGUUCAACGCUGACAUUGAAGUAAUUCGUGAGGCGUCAACGCCGCAGCGGCUGGUCCUCCGGGAAGUGGACGUCACGGCUUCGGGAAGCUAUACGUGCCAAGUGCUGCUGGCGGCUUCCGGCCGACUGCUGAGCGACACGGCAGCCAUGGCGGUCAAGGGCCUGCCGCAGCCGGAGCGCGCCCGGCCGGCCCCCGUGGGCGUCGAGAGCCUGGGCGACGUGGCGGCGACGGCCGGCGAGGAAGCCACCCUCAGCUGCAGGGUAUUCGCCGACGAGGCUGCUACGGUCUCCUGGAAGCGCCUGCGGGACCAGAGGCUGCUGUCGACCAACAACUACUCGUACACCGGCGACGUGGAGCACAGAGUCCGGCACGAAGAAGGGCCGAGCGAGUGGCACCUGUGGCUCGCCCGGGUUGCCCCUGAGGACGACCGCUUCGAGUGCCGCGCCGUCGGCUCCUCUGGGGGCGAGGCCGCGGCGGUCGUGCGCCUCACGUUCGGAGAGGAGGAGAAAGUGGGCGUGGCUUCUGUGGACGUGCCCUCUCGCGCCACACGCUUCUCAGACCAGACGCUCACUUGCAAAUACAACCUUGGCGACAUGGGCCUCUACUCCGUCAGGUGGUACCUCAACGACAGCGAAUUCUUCCGAUAUUUACCAGCCCUAAAAAUAAACUUGUCCCAUCAAGAUGUGCAGGUCGAUACAGAAAAAUCCAAUGCGACCAGGGUAGUUCUCCGGGAGGUGGAUAUCAGAGCCUCAGGGACCUAUACGUGUGAAGUUACAACAAACGAACCCUUUUUCUACGUCUUCUCGAAGUCAUCUAACAUGACAGUCACUGCUCAGUGCUUUGCAGAUGAGGCAGCGGUGGAGACGCGAAUCACGACGGCAGCAAUAGGGUCUUCAGUCGAAUUUUCCUGCGAGGCUUCCUCGGAGGAUGGCACGGUGUCCUGGGUCCGCGAACGUGACUACCAUAUAUUAUCAGUGGGAAAUAUCGUCGUCGACUCCCGCUAUUCGGUCGAGCAGGGCCGCACGGCGGGCGCCUGGAGGCUGCGGCUCGCCCGCGUCACCCAUUCGGACGCCGGCGACUACACGUGCAGGAAGCCCGAGUUCGCCUCGCGCCCGACCCGCUACCGGCUGGUGGUCGUCGAGCCAACAAUUAGCAUGGAAUUUACGGAUAACAUAACAGCCGAAGCCGGUUCGUCGGCUAUUCUCAGCUGCCGAGUCUUUAAUCUUGGACAAGGCACGGUGCUCCAACAGCUGAAGCCCCUGCCUCGUCAACGCCCACGAUAUGUCUUCCACCAUUUCAGUUGAUCGGUGAUCAUGUCUGUAUUAUGGUUGAGACGAUGGAAAAGAGAAGCUGGUUUGACGCCCAGCAAUAUUGCAGGUCGCAGGGUGGCGACCUGGCCAAGGAGGAUGACAACGCCUACAUCAGAAUAUACUUGGAGCAGCAUUUCGGCAUCAGCGGCGAUACA
rnacentral:misc_RNA from 1 species